rnacentral:misc_RNA from 1 species
ACCGUCGGGGGUUCGCUGCAACGCAUCGACGGCUUCCGCAGCUUCUCAGGCCAAGGCUACAAGGUUUUGAUGGAACCGGUCGUAUUGAACCGUGAAAGAGCCGCAGCUGACCGCCUAAAACGGAUGCCUAUCUUCAGAUUGUUCGACGACUACCGUGAUGAAGAUUUUUAUGGGCUUCCGCGGAAAUACAGUAUUGUCGCUCGGGUCGAAGUUAAAUUCCCGAUUGAACCACGUUUUCGUGAUAGACAACAUUUCGUUUUGUCUGACAUCAAUGGAGCCAAGAUCGAGGCCAUAACAUAUAUGUAUGAGACAGUCAAACAUUUCGACAAUUUGCUCCAUGAA